rnacentral:misc_RNA from 1 species
GAUGAAGAACGUAGCGAAAUGCGAUAAGUAAUGUGAAUUGCAGAAUUCAGUGAAUCAUCGAAUCUUUGAACGCAUCUUGCACUCCUUGGUAUUCUGAGGAGCAUGCCUGUUUGAGUGUCAUUAAAUUCUCAACUACACUGACUUUGAAUUGGUGUGGCUUGGAUUUGGGGGGAAAAUUGUUGUGGGCUUUUUGUAUAGUCUGCUCCCCUGAAAUUGAUUAGCGGUACCUUUGUGGAACUGUCUACAGGUGUGAUAAUUAUCUACAUCUUAGACAUCUGCUGGAAUGCUGCUUUCUAAACCUUACUUGUAUUGACAAUCUUGACCUCAAAUCAGGUAGGACUACCCGCUGAACUUAAGCAUAUCAAUAAGCGGGAGGA